GACGAACGCUGGCGGCGUGCCUAAUACAUGCAAGUAGAACGCUGAAGGAGGAGCUUGCUCUUCUGGAUGAGUUGCGAACGGGUGAGUAACGCGUAGGUAACCUGCCUGGUAGCGGGGGAUAACUAUUGGAAACGAUAGCUAAUACCGCAUAAGAGUAGAUGUUGCAUGACACUUGCUUAAAAGGUGCAAUUGCAUCACUACCAGAUGGACCUGCGUUGUAUUAGCUAGUUGGUGGGGUAACGGCUCACCAAGGCGACGAUACAUAGCCGACCUGAGAGGGUGAUCGGCCACACUGGGACUGAGACACGGCCCAGACUCCUACGGGAGGCAGCAGUAGGGAAUCUUCGGCAAUGGACGGAAGUCUGACCGAGCAACGCCGCGUGAGUGAAGAAGGUUUUCGGAUCGUAAAGCUCUGUUGUAAGAGAAGAACGAGUGUGAGAGUGGAAAGUUCACACUGUGACGGUAUCUUACCAGAAAGGGACGGCUAACUACGUGCCAGCAGCCGCGGUAAUACGUAGGUCCCGAGCGUUGUCCGGAUUUAUUGGGCGUAAAGCGAGCGCAGGCGGUUAGAUAAGUCUGAAGUUAAAGGCUGUGGCUUAACCAUAGUACGCUUUGGAAACUGUUUAACUUGAGUGCAAGAGGGGAGAGUGGAAUUCCAUGUGUAGCGGUGAAAUGCGUAGAUAUAUGGAGGAACACCGGUGGCGAAAGCGGCUCUCUGGCUUGUAACUGACGCUGAGGCUCGAAAGCGUGGGGAGCAAACAGG
rnacentral:rRNA from 1 species